rnacentral:rRNA from 1 species
CACGUAAGGGGCGAGCGUUGUUCGGAAUUAUUGGGCGUAAAGGGCGUGCAGGCGGUCAUGUAAGUCUGUUGUGAAAUCCCGGGGCUUAACUCCGGAGGCGCGAUGGAAACUGUGUGACUAGAAUCUUGGAGGGGGAGUUGGAAUUCCUAGUGUAGGGGUGAAAUCUGUUGAUAUUAGGAAGAACACCGGUGGCGAAGGCGAACUCCUGGCCGAAGAUUGACGCUGAGGCGCGAAAGCGUAGGUAGCAAACAGGAUUAGAAACCCUAGUAGU